CGUGCAGCAUAUUUUGCCGAUAUGACGUAUGCUUGCCUAUUUACACGGGACUUAUCUUAUCUUAUCUUGGAAACGGGUUGGCUUUCCAAAACGGGACCAAUCGAGAUUUCAGCGAAAGUAUAUGGAAUUUAGUCAUGAAACUUGGUCAGGAUGUUGGGGGAGGCUUUCUCUACAUGAAUGUAUCACUCUCACAAAGUAGUUGCUAAUAGUAUUUAAGCAAUUUGUUGUUAAAUAAUCUUCACUACCACCCCCCAAUUUUUGUACAAAAUGCCACUUAUCAAUUGUAUUUUGGUUGAUAUACAAUAUCUUCAAUGUUCACAAAUAACAAUGGCCGACAGUAAGAGCAAAUGUGUGCUGCCAUACUUCUCGAAGCUAUAAAAUACAACUAUAAACCAUA